GCCCGGUUAGCUCAAUUGGUCAGAGCGUCGGACUUUUAUGAUCAUUCGUAAUCCGAAGGCUGCGAGUUCGACCCUCGCAUCGGGCG
rfam:Aspergillus niger supercontig An11